UAGGGAAUAUUGCGCAAUGGAGGAAACUCUGACGCAGCGACGCCGCGUGGGUGAUGAAGGCUUUCGGGUCGUAAAGCCCUGUCGGCAGGGAAGAAAAAUCCCAUGGCUAAUAUCCAUGGGACUUGACGGUACCUGCAGAGGAAGCACCGGCUAACUACGUGCCAGCAGCCGCGGUAAUACGUAGGGUGCAAGCGUUGUUCGGAAUCAUUGGGCGUAAAGCGCGUGUAGGCGGUCAAGUAAGUCUUGUGUGAAAUCCCUGGGCUCAACCGAGGAAGUGCAUGGGAAACUACUUGGCUUGCAGACGGUAGAGGAAGGUGGAAUUCCAAGUGUAGAGGUGAAAUUCGUAGAUAUUUGGAGGAAUACCGGUGGCGAAGGCGGCCUUCUGGACCGAUCUGGACGCUGAGACGCGAAAGCGUGGGGAGCAAACAG
rnacentral:rRNA from 1 species